rnacentral:lncRNA from 1 species
GUGAAGAAAAGGCUAAUCGAUAAAGGUCCCUAUCAAUAAGAACAAAGUUGGCGCUCUUGUAUUUGAUCUUUUUUGCCAACAUCUGAUCCGAAGGAAGGACGCCAUAUGCUAAAUACUUGAUGUAGGGGGUCAUCCAGCAGUUAGAUCGCUCGAUACACAUCACUGCUUCAUGUUGAACACUUGGCUGUUGUAGAACUUCCAAGUAAACAGAUCCAUUAAAAACAUCUGCAUCCGUAGUAGCCAACUUUGAC